AGCGAACGCUGGCGGCAGGCUUAACACAUGCAAGUCGAGCGGGCGUAGCAAUACGUCAGCGGCAGACGGGUGAGUAACGCGUGGGAACAUACCUUUUGGUUCGGAACAACACAGGGAAACUUGUGCUAAUACCGGAUAAGCCCUUACGGGGAAAGAUUUAUCGCCGAAAGAUUGGCCCGCGUCUGAUUAGCUAGUUGGUGAGGUAACGGCUCACCAAGGCGACGAUCAGUAGCUGGUCNGAGAGGAUGAUCAGCCACAUUGGGACUGAGACACGGCCCAAACUCCUACGGGAGGCAGCAGUGGGGAAUCUUGCGCAAUGGGCGAAAGCCUGACGCAGCGACGCCGCGUGAGGGAUGACGGCCU
rnacentral:rRNA from 1 species